rnacentral:tRNA from 1 species
GGUAGUGUGGCCAGGUGGUCUAAGGUGGCUGGAUUUAGGCUCCAGUCUCUUUGGGGAUGUGGGUUUGAAUCCCACCACUGCUA